UACGGGGGGAGCAAGCGUUGUUCGGAUUUACUGGGCGUAAAGGGCGCGUAGGCGGUCAGCACAAGUCAGUUGUGAAAUCUCCGGGCUUAACUCGGAAAGGUCAACUGAUACUGUGCGACUAGAGUGCAGAAGGGGCAACUGGAAUUCUCGGUGUAGCGGUGAAAUGCGUAGAUAUCGAGAGGAACACCUGCGGCGAAGGCGGCCCCCUGGUUGGAUACUGACGCUGAGACGCGAAAGCGUGGGGAGCAAACAGG
rnacentral:rRNA from 1 species